rnacentral:tRNA from 1 species
GCCUUCGUGGUGUAGUGGUCAGCACGCUCGGCGCGUAUUCGAGAGGUCCGUGGUUCGAUUCCCGGUGAAGGCG